rnacentral:rRNA from 1 species
GAUGAACGCUAGCUACAGGCUUAACACAUGCAAGUCGCGGGGCAGCAUGGGGGUUGCUUGCAACCCCUGAUGGCGACCGGCGCACGGGUGAGUAACGCGUAUCCAACCUGCCCUUCACCACGGGAUAACCCGGCGAAAGUCGGACUAAUACCGUAUGUUGUCCAUUGACGGCAUCCGAUUUAGACGAAAGGCUUGGGGUUGAAAGGUUGGGGUUGCGUCCGAUUAGCUUGACGGCGGGGUACCGGCCCACCGUGGCUACGUUCGGUAGGGGUUCUGAGAGGAAGGUCCCCCACACUGGAACUGAGACACGGUCCAGACUCCUACGGGAGGCAGCAGUGAGGAAUAUUGGUCAAUGGGCGUAAGCCUGAACCAGCCAAGUAGCGUGCAGGAUGACGGCCCUAUGGGUUGUAAACUGCUUUUAUGCGGGGAUAAAGUGGCCCACGUGUGGGCUUUUGCAGGUACCGCAUGAAUAAGGACCGGCUAAUUCCGUG